UGAGGAAUAUUGCACAAUGGAGGAAACUCUGAUGCAGCCAUGCCGCGUGUGUGAUGAAGGCCUUAGGGUUGUAAAACACUUUAAGCAGGGAAGAUAAUGACGGUACCUGCAGAAUAAGCCCCGGCUAACUCCGUGCCAGCAGCCGCGGUAAUACGGAGGGGGCUAGCGUUAUUCGGAAUUACUGGGCGUAAAGCGCGCGUAGGCGGACUGGAAAGUCAGAGGUGAAAUCCCAGGGCUCAACCUUGGAACUGCCUUUGAAACUAUCAGUCUAGUAUUUGGUAGAGGUAAGUGGAAUUCCUAGUGUAGCGGUGAAAUGCGUAGAUAUUAGGAGGAACACCAGUGGCGAAGGCGACUUACUGGGCCAACAUAGACGCUAAGGUGCGAAAGCGUGGGGAGCGAACGGG
rnacentral:rRNA from 1 species